rnacentral:rRNA from 1 species
GUCGAACGCCCUUUGUCUCGCAAGAGAGGGAGGGAGUGGCGGACGGGUGAGUAACACAUGGGUGACCUACCCCGCAGUGAGGAAUACCGGCGAGAAAUCGCCGACAAGACCGCAUAGGCUCUCUUUGCUCGCACGAAGAGAGCAAAGUCUCGCAAGAGACGCUGAGGGAUGGGCCUGUGGCCGAUUAGCUCGUUGGGGGGGUAAGAGCCUCCCAAGGCCACGAUCGGUAGCUGGUCUGAGAGGACGAACAGCCACACUGGGAUUGAGAACGGCCCAGACUCCUACGGGGGGCAGCAGUGAGGAAUUUUCCGCAAUGGACGCAAGUCUGACGGAGCAACGCCGCGUGCAGGAAGACGCUUUUCGGAGUGUAAACUGCUUUUCUGUGGGACGAGCGAGGACGGUACCACAGGAAGAAGCCCCGGCUAACUACGUGCCAGCAGCCGCGGUAAUAC